rnacentral:lncRNA from 1 species
UCCCGUACCCAGUACCAUCAAAAGGUACAGAAACUAAAGAAGAUCCUAAAAUAUCGGACGAAUGAACAUAAAAAAGAUGACAUGGAUGCAUAUAAUCGUCCUCAUCAAAAGGCAAAUCUAGAAACAGAAGAAGCAGUUGGUAACACAGGUUCAUAACCAUCAUUAUUCGGUAUUUUGUAUGCAGUUAAUCAGGACAAAAUGCACGUACAAUGAAACAAGAGAACAUAGAUAGCUACGGUUACCAGAUUUCCUUCACGACCGUAAGGAACAACGGCCUUUUAAACAAAAGAGUCACAAGGACCAGCACCUCCUAGUUGAAUGAGUAAAAAAUUGACAAAAUCCAGCAAACCCUAGAUCGAAAUAAAAGCCUCAAACAACUCCAAAAAAAUGAUCAAUCGCCAGAAGAUAUUCGCUGCUAAUGAAAGCUUUCAUCUUUGUCAUCAAUACGGAAGAAACAAACUCAAAGUAGCCAGAAGAUAUUCGCUGCUAAUGAAAGCUUUUAUCUUUGUCAUCAAUACGGAAGAAACAAACUCAAAGUAUCGAUGAAGAUUCGCUGGAACGAAGAAACAAAAAAAAUCAAAGCAGAGAGAACAACGGAAUCUCAACAAGACUCCGAUGAAACUAAGUGAUUGUAGCCUCGGAAGAGAGAUAACAUCGUAAUCUAUCUAUAUCUCGGCUCUGAUACCAUGAUAAAACUCCUUUAAUGGUGAGGUCGAAGAAAGAUGAACGGAGAAGGAGAAGGACAGAAGUUUCUAGAUAUUUUUUAUUAGAGAAAAAUAUAAAUCCCAAAUCAGUCUGUUACAAAAAU